rnacentral:rRNA from 1 species
CGGUUGAUCCUGCCGGAGGUUACUGCUAUCGGAGUUCGAUUAAGCCAUGCGAGUCUAAAGGCUUCUUCGGAAGCCUUGGCGGACCGCUCAGUAACACGUGGAUAACCUACCCUUGGGACUGGCAUAACCCCGGGAAACUGGGGAUAAUACCAGAUAGAUCAGGGAUGCUGGAAUGCACCUUGAUCCAAAGCUCAGGCGCCCAAGGAUGGAUCUGCGACCUAUCAGGUUGUAGUGGGUGUAACGUACCUACUAGCCGACGGCGGGUACGGGUUGUGAGAGCAAGAGCCCGGAGAUGGAUUCUGAGACACGAAUCCAGGCCCUACGGGGUGCAGCAGGCGCGAAACCUUUACAAUGUGCGAAAGCAUGAUAAGGGAACUCCGAGUGCCAGCAUCUAAUGCUGGCUGUCCUUGUGCCUAAAACGUACAAGAUAGCAAGGGCCGGGUAAGACCGGUGCCAGCCGCCGCGGUAACACCGGCGGCCCGAGUGGUAGCCACUAUUAUUGGGUCUAAAGGGUCCGUAGCCGGUUUGGUAAGUCCUCUGGAAAAUCUGGUUGCUCAACAAUCAGACUGCCAAGGGAUACUGUCGAACUUGAGACCGGGAGAGGUAAGAGGUACUUCAGGGGUAGGAGUGAAAU